rnacentral:rRNA from 1 species
ACUGUAGUUAGCCGUGGCUUUCUGGUUAGGUACCGUCAAGGUGCCGCCCUAUUUGAACGGCACUUGUUCUUCCCUAACAACAGAGCUUUACGAUCCGAAAACCUUCAUCANCUCACGCGGCGUUGCUCCGUCAGACUUUCGUCCAUUGCGGAAGAUUCCCUACUGCUGCCUCCCGUAGGAGUCUGGGCCGUGUCUCAGUCCCAGUGUGGCCGAUCACCCUCUCAGGUCGGCUACGCAUCGUUGCCUUGGUGAGCCAUUACCUCACCAACUAGCUAAUGCGCCGCGGGUCCAUCUGUAAGUGGUAGCCGAAGCCACCUUUUAUGUUUGAACCAUGCGGUUCAAACAAGCAUCCGGUAUUAGCCCCGGUUUCCCGGAGUUAUCCCAGUCUUACAGGCAGGUUAC